CCCUCGGCUCAACCGAGGAAUUGCUUGGUAAACCGCACGUCUUGAGACAGGUAGGGGCCAUCGGAACGCUCGGUGGAGUGGUGAAAUGCGUUGAUAUCGAGCGGAACGCCGAAGGAGAAAUCAGAUGGCUGGGCCUGUUCUGACGCUCAGGUACGAAAGCGUGGGGAGCGAACGGGAUUAGAUACCCCGGUAGUCCACGCCGUAAACGUUGUGCACUAGGUCGAGGAGGUACUGACGCCGUCCUUGGCCGAAGCGAAAGUGUUAAGUGCACCGCCUGGGGAGUACGGUCGCAAGGCUAAAACUCAAAGGAAUUGACGGGGGCUCACACAAGCGGUGGAGCAUGUGGCUUAAUUCGAAGCAACGCGAAGAACCUUAUCCUGGGUUUGACAUGCACGGAUUAACCCCGUGAAAGCGGGGCCACGCCUUCGGGUGGAACGUGCACAGGUGCUGCAUGGCUGUCGUCAGCUCGUGCUGUGAAGUGUCGGGUUAAGUCCCUUAACGAGCGCAACCCCUGUCGUUAGUUGCUGACAGGUAAUGCUGAGGACUCUAACGAGACUGCCGGCGUCAAGUCGGAGGAAGGUGGGGAUGACGUCAAGUCCGCAUGGCCUUUAUGCCCAGGGCUGCACACGUGCUACAAUGGCGCGUACAGAGGGAAGCAAUACCGCGAGGUGGAGCAAAUCCCAAAAAGCGCGCC
rnacentral:rRNA from 1 species